AUUGAACGCUGGCGGCAUGCUUUACACAUGCAAGUCGAACGGUAACAGGCCUUCUGGUGCUGACGAGUGGCGAACGGGUGAGUAAUGCAUCGGAACGUGCCCAGUGGCGGGGGAUAACGCAUCGUAAGCUGUGCUAAUACCUCAUGUGCUCUGAGGAUGAAAGCGGGGGACCAGGCAGCAAUGUUUGGCCUCGCGCCUUUGUAGCGGCCGAUGUCAGAGUAGGUAGGUGGGGGGGUAAAGGCCUACCAAGCCGACGAUCUGUAGCUGGUCUGAGAGGACGACCAGCCACACUGGGACUGAGACACGGCACAGACUCCUACGGGAGGCAGCAGUGGGGAAUCUUGCACAAUGGGCGCAAGCCUGAUCCAGCAAUGCCGCGUGCGGGAAGAAGGCGUUCGGGUUGUAAACCGCUGUUGUACGGAACGAAAAGGCUCUGGCUAAUACCUGGGGCUGAUGACGGUACCGGAAGAAUAAGCACCGGCUAACUACGUG
rnacentral:rRNA from 1 species